CUCCUCUCGCUCGGUGGUUGCGUAGGUGUCUCGCUUCCUCCGCUCGCUCCCUCCCUCCCGCGGCUGCCUCGAGCGCUCCCCCCUCCCUUCGGCCCUCCAUCUGGCCGUCCCCCCUUCUCUGCCCCCCUCCCCGUGCUCGCCGCCUCCUCUCUGCCAGCUCGAGCGAGCCAGCGGCGCGCUGCCUGCUUAUUCAGCCCGGCAGAAUCCCUCGGCCUGCAGCAGUGGCAGGAAGACGGGGGACCCCGCCAAAAUUGCCCACUUCCCGCGCAAGCCGAGAGCCGCCGUGCGAGAGGGAGUGCGAGAGAUUGAUGCACAUUCAUGCGCUUCCCUCACGAUGUCGAAUUUUAAGCACAUCGCGGGACACGCAGACGUGCCCUUUGAAGUUUCCGGGGAGGGGGAAAGCAAUGGCUAAAGGCCCCCCUCUGGGAUAUGGCAAAGCUUAAAUGGCAAAAACAAAGCUUCUGCAGGAAAAGCAAAUAUUAACCCUCGCCAAACCCCACAACGAAAUUUUAAAAGCGUUUGUUGUGACGGGGUUGGCAUAUACCUCCUCAGACCUAAAUGCAGGAUGAUUUGAAAGAAGGAUCACUCGUGGCCAGGAACAAACUGCGAGGCUGGUUUGUGCACUUCAUUGCUAAGAGAUGUGCCCCAUAGACAAGGCAUCCCUGGAGCUAGGGAGGGUCAAGUCCGUGCCCAGAGUGCAAUACUGGUGGCCCACCAUUUGGACCCAGAGACAAGGUCACUCAGCCUUGGGAUAUUCUGGAGUGUGGCCUUCUGUGCACAUGGGGUGGGAAAAGCAUUCAUAGAGGUGGGUGGAAAUUUGGGGUGGAACAGCCUUGCAGCCAUAAUAGUUCCAUGAGGAAGAUGGGCGCAGGGAUCAAGGGGGCACCUUGGGCUGGGGGAACAAGCUGCUUUCCCCCUUAUAAUUCUAUAAUUCUCAGCUGUGUUUGACUCAGAAUGGGCUCAUUACGAUUUCUGUCAAUAUAACCCAGAAGGGCGAUGACUACAUUAUAUUAGGAUACAGGGUGUGAGCCCCCAUAUUUUUGUUUACACACACAACUUACCACAGCUUCCGAACAGAACAAGCAGGCAAUACCUGACAGCACUUGCCCAAACCUGAUGUCCUAGGAGGAUGGCAUAGCAACCGACGAGAUGGUUCCACUGCUCUCAACACAGGGUCUAUCUGCAAAUGGAGGGAGUAGCCAUAGAGAAGGUGCCCGGCGUUGUUGCUGAUUAUGAAGCAUGACCAGGAAAGAGAAUUGAUGUCAUCGCAGUUCUUCAUCUUCACCUAUCAUACAAUUGGCCAGUGAUGAGUCCAACAUGCACUCUGUCUGAAUUUCAUUUUGCAACAUCCAUACACUGCAAAGUGGAUAGGUAAUAUAUAACCUGAGUUUUCGAUGGAGAGGUUCCCAGUACCACACACCAAGAGCGUCUUGCUUCUUCCCAAGAUGCAGUCCUGGAUUCAAAACUCUGCCUCCUGCUUGUCACAUUACUUCUACCUUCUAAGCUUUUGGCCCACAUUGCUUCCUCUCGCUCUUCUCUUAAGCUUUUGGCUUUAUCUCCUAAGUGAAAGGGCCCCCACCUCUCUGCCAUCUCUCAAAGAGUUUCUUUGAUGCUUUGUAGUCCUAAUGGCCCAUUCCUCAGGUGACUACCUCAACACAGGAAGCUUAGACAAGCUUAAUUAGCCCUAAAUACAUGCUAAUUCCAGAAGAUUUAGAAGCGUCUAAUACAUGGGCUUAAAUACACACAGGCGUAGCAGUUUUAACACUGAGCCUUAAUUAGAUUCGGAUGCCUACUGAACCCAAUAAUUUAGGGUUUAGCACCCACAAACUUACAAAAUCAGGUUACUAAUAUUGUAACCUGAUGCCUAUCUUUGAUUAAAUUCUUCAGUAGCCCCAUACAGAAGAUCCAUGUAAUCUUCUUCUGAAAUGUGCAUGAAUAUACAUCAGCUUCAUUUCUGAUGCCCCCAAACAUCAAGAAGCAUAGAAUUAAAUCUCAUGGACUCAUAACCUCAUCAUAUUCCUUAAUGGCAGAUGUUGUAGGCAUGGGCAGACGCUAUGCUUGUGGGAUUUGUUUUUAUAAAAACUUGAGUUCCACCAAGCAGCGCUAGGUACAAAGUAGUGGUUGGCAGAGGCAGAAAAAUGGUUUCUCAAGUGGUGGAAGCAAGUGCAAUGGGAACAGGAACCGGGUGCAAGAAAGCAGACCUCCAGACCAUUCUCCAGAGAAGGAGCGAUGACCUGAUCUGCCAGAAUGCCAUGAUUGACCUUUCCUGCUCUUCAGGUUAUGUUGCAGGACACUCUUGAGAGAGGGUGCCUCCCACUAUACUUCGUAGGCAGGGUCUCCAGGCAGAAGAGUGGCACUCGAGACCAAACCAGCAGAGCCAAAAUAAGCUCCUCAACCCCAUGAUGAACAUGUUCACCCCACCUCUGGAAUCUCAGGAACCAUGUAGAAAACUGUAACAAGGUGUGGGGUGAAGAAAACAACCUCAGGACAAGCAAAGGCACGAAAUAGCAUGUGCUAUAUGACAAGUAACCAAGGCAAAGAAUCAGAAAAACAAUUCUAGUAGGGAGCAGAGGACAACAAACUAGAGAAGGGGAGAUAACAUAAGGAAAAAAGAACAGUGAUAAGUUGCAGGAAAUAAUCAAUCAGAUAGAUCCGCCCCCUGCCCCAAGACAAGAAAGAAAAGGGUACGUCUGGAGGGAAGGACAAUUCCACCUGGAAAAGGACUUGAAUAGCUUGAAUCAUAGAAUGGGAAGGGACCAUGAGGAUCAUUUAGUCCAGCCCCCUGCGAUGCAGGAAUAUUUCACGCAAUGUGAGGCUCCAACCCACAACCCUGAGAUUAAGCGUCUCAUGAUCUACUGAGCUAUAGAUGAACAGUUCCAAGGAGCCUCCCUACCAAGGAUCAUCCUCACUACAGAAUGUCCUCUGGCCUAAUCUGGCAAAAAUGUAAUUAUACUAGUCCUCACUGCUUUGCAAUCCAGCAAUGGUAAUGAGUGUUGGAGCAGAUUUCCAUGUGUGCUUAUCUUGCUGAAGCUGAAGAUGCAGGCUGGAUGUGCAAGUUAUGUGCCCUUGUUGAUUCAACAAUGAGACAUGGAGCUUCAAGUCCUUCACUGAUCAAGGU